GUCCAAGUGCUUUAAUCAGCCAGUGGAGCAUGAGACUCUGUAUCUCAGGGUUGUGGGUUCGAGCCCCACACUGGGCA